rnacentral:tRNA from 1 species
CGGCCGCCCGCGCGGCUUGGCGCUCGGCGCUGGGGUCGUUGCCGAGGGCGACACGGGCGAGCGUUUCGCGCGCGGCCUU